GCUGGGCGCGGUGGCUCACGCCUGUAAUCCCAGCACUUUGGGAGGCCGAGGCGGGUGGAUUACCUGAGGUCAGGAGUUCAAGACCAGCCUGGCCAACAUGGUGAAACCCCGUCUCUA
rnacentral:sRNA from 1 species